rnacentral:rRNA from 1 species
AUUGAACGCUGGCGGCAUGCUUUACACAUGCAAGUCGAACGGUAGACCCUUUCGGGGGUUGAGAGUGGCGAACGGGUGAGUAAUGCAUCGGAACGUGCCCAGUCGUGGGGGAUAACGCAGCGAAAGUUGUGCUAAUACCGCAUACGACCUGAGGGUGAAAGCGGGGGACCGGUAACGGCCUCGCGCGAUUGGAGCGGCCGAUGUCUGAUUAGCUAGUUGGUGAGGUAAAGGCUCACCAAGGCGACGAUCAGUAGCGGGUCUGAGAGGAUGAUCCGCCACACUGGGACUGAGACACGGCCCAGACUCCUACGGGAGGCAGCAGUGGGGAAUUUUGGACAAUGGGCGCAAGCCUGAUCCAGCCAUGCCGCGUGCGGGAAGAAGGCC